rnacentral:rRNA from 1 species
AGAUGGCGACCGGCGCACGGGUGAGUAACACGUAUCCAACCUGCCGAUAACUCGGGGAUAGCCUUUCGAAAGAAAGAUUAAUACCCGAUGGCAUAAUUAGACCGCAUGGUCUUAUUAUUAAAGAAUUUCGGUUAUCGAUGGGGAUGCGUUCCAUUAGGCAGUUGGUGAGGUAACGGCUCACCAAACCUUCGAUGGAUAAGGGUUCUGAGAGGAAGGUCCCCCACAUUGGAACUGAGACACGGUCCAA